ACUCACACUGGCCGCUCGUUUUACAGCCUAACACAUGCAAGUCGAACGGCAGCACAGAGGAGCUUGCUCCUUGGGUGGCGAGUGGCGGACGGGUGAGGAAUACAUCGGAAUCUACUCUGUCGUGGGGGAUAACGUAGGGAAACUUACGCUAAUACCGCAUACGAACCUACGGGAUGAAAGCAGGGGAUCUUCGGACCUUGCGCGAUUGAAUGAGCCGAUGUCGGAUUAGCUAGAUUGGACGGGGUAAAGGCCCACCAANGCGACGAUCCGUAGCUGGUCUGAGAGGAUGAUCAGCCACACAUGGAACUGAGACACGGUCCAGACUCCUACGGGAGGCAGCAGUGGGGAAUAUUGGACAAUGGGCGCAAGCCUGAUCCAGCCAUACCGCGUGGGUGAAGAAGGCCUUCGGGUUGUAAAGCCCUUUUGUUGGGAAAGAAAUCCAGCUGGCUAAUACCCGGUUGGGAUGACGGUACCCAAAGAAUAAGCACCGGCUAACUUACGAUGCCAGCAGCCGCGGUAAUACGACAGGGUGCAGACGUUACUCGGGCAAAUUCACUAGGGCGUAAAGCGUA
rnacentral:rRNA from 1 species